rnacentral:rRNA from 1 species
CGGGGGGCAGCAGUGGGGAAUAUUGGACAAUGGGGGAAACCCUGAUCCAGCCAUGCCGCGUGAGUGAUGAAGGCCCUAGGGUUGUAAAGCUCUUUUGUCCGGGAAGAUAAUGACUGUACCGGAAGAAUAAGCCCCGGCUAACUUCGUGCCAGCAGCCGCGGUAAUACGAAGGGGGCUAGCGUUGCUCGGAAUCACUGGGCGUAAAGCGCACGUAGGCGGGCUCUUAAGUCGGAGGUGAAAUCCCAAGGCUCAACCUUGGAACUGCCUUCGAUACUGAGGGUCUUGAGUCCGGAAGAGGUAAGUGGAACUCCGAGUGUAGAGGUGAAAUUCGUAGAUAUUCGGAAGAACACCAGUGGCGAAGGCGGCUUACUGGUCCGGUACUGACGCUGAGGUGCGAAAGCGUGGGGAGCAAACAGGAUUAGAUACCCGAGU